AUUGAACGCUGGCGGCAGGCCUAACCCAUGCAAGUCCAACGAGUAGCGGACGGGUGAGUAAUGUCUGGGAAACUGCCCGAUGGAGGGGGAUAACUACUGGAAACGGUAGCUAAUACCGCAUACCAUCGGAUGUGCCCAGAUGGGAUUAGCUAGUAGGUGGGGUAACUGCUCACCUAGGCGACGAUCCCUAGCUGGUCUGAGAGGAUGACCGUCCACACUGGAACGGAGACACGGUCCAGACUCCUACGGGAGGCAGCAGUGGGGAAUAUUGCACAAUGGGCGCAAGCCUGAUGCAGCCAUGCCGCGUGUAUGAAGAAGGCCUUCGGGUUGUAAAGUACUUUCAGCGAGGAGGCGUUACUCGCAGAAGAAGCACCGGCUAACUCCGUGCCAGCAGCCGCGGUAAUAC
rnacentral:rRNA from 1 species